GCGCCCGUAGCUCAAUUGGAUAGAGCGCCGGGCUUCGAACCCGUAGGUUGGGGGUUCAAGUCCCUCCGGGCGCACCA
rnacentral:tRNA from 1 species